CCUAGCUCUCUCAGUCAACAACUUACUGAGCUGCCUUUUCCUUUACAAAAGGAUGUCAGCUCUGAGACACAGCAAGAAAUAACAGACUUCACCUUGGAAUAGCUCAACUCACUCUUCCAUUAUUAAAGUGGAUUUUGAAAAGAAAACAAAACCCAAAAAAAGCAAGUCAAGCACUCUUCCA